AGAGUUUGAUCAUGGCUCAGAAUGAACGCUACGGCAGCCNUAAUACAUGCAAGUCGACGGUGUCUUCGNACAUAGUGGCGCACGGGUGCGUAACACGUAUGCAACCUNCCUUACAUUGGGGGAUAGCCUUUCGAAAGGAGAUUAAUNCCGCAUAAGCAGUAGCUGGGCAUCCAGCAGCUGUUAAAGAUUUAUCGAUGUAAGCUGGGCAUGCGUCCAAUUAGCUAGUUGGUGAGGUAAUGGCUCACCAAGGCAAUGAUUGGUAGGGGAACUGAGAGGUCAAUCCCCCACACUGGCACUGAGAUACGGGCCAGACUCCUACGGGAGGCAGCAGUAGGGAAUAUUGGGCAAUGGACGCAAGUCUGACCCAGCCAUGCCGCGUGCAGGAUGAAGGCGUUAUGCGUUGUAAACUGCUUUUAUACAGGAAGAAACGACUCUUGCGAGAGGCAUUGACGGUACUGUAUGAAUAAGCACCGGCUAACUCCGUGCCAGCAGCCGCGGUAAUACGGAGGGUGCAAGCGUUGUCCGGAUUUAUUGGGUUUAAAGGGUGCGCAGGAGGUUUAUUAAGUCAGUGGUGAAAGACGGUCGCUCAACGAUUGCAGUGCCAUUGAAACUGGUAGACUUGAGUAAAGUAGAGGUGGGCGGAAUUGAUA
rnacentral:rRNA from 1 species